ACGAACGCUGGCGGCAUGCCUAACCCAUGCCAGUCGCACGCGACCUUCGGGUCUAGUGGCGCACGGGUGCGUAACGCGUGGGAACCUGCCCUUAGGUUCGGAAUAACUCCCCGAAAGGGGUGCUAAUACCGGAUAAUGUCUUCGGACCAAAGAUUUAUCGCCUUUGGAUGGGCCCGCGUUGGAUUAGCUAGUUGGUAGGGUAAAAGCCUACCAAGGCGACGAUCCAUAGCUGGUCUGAGAGGAUGAUCAGCCACACUGGGACUGAGACACGGCCCAGACUCCUACGGGAGGCAGCAGUGGGGAAUAUUGGACAAUGGGCGAAAGCCUGAUCCAGCAAUGCCGCGUGAGUGAUGAAGGCCUUAGGGUUGUAAAGCUCUUUUACCCGGGAUGAUAAUGACAGUACCGGGAGAAUAAGCUCCGGCUAACUCCGUG
rnacentral:rRNA from 1 species